rnacentral:rRNA from 1 species
ACUCCUGCGGGAGGCAGCAGUGGGGAAUUUUGGACAAUGGGCGAAAGCCUGAUCCAGCAAUGCCGCGUGUGUGAAGAAGGCCUUCGGGUUGUAAAGCACUUUUGUCCGGAAAGAAAUCCUUGGCUCUAAUACAGUCGGGGGAUGACGGUACCGGAAGAAUAAGCACCGGCUAACUACGUGCCAGCAGCCGCGGUAAUACGUAGGGUGCGAGCGUUAAUCGGAAUUACUGGGCGUAAAGCGUGCGCAGGCGGUUUGCUAAGACCGAUGUGAAAUCCCCGGGCUCAACCUGGGAACUGCAUUGGUGACUGGCAGGCUAGAGUAUGGCAGAGGGGGGUAGAAUUCCACGUGUAGCAGUGAAAUGCGUAGAGAUGUGGAGGAAUACCGAUGGCGAAGGCAGCCCCCUGGGCCAAUACUGACGCUCAUGCACGAAAGCGUGGGGAGCAAACAGGAUUAGAUACCCUAGUAGUCCCA